rnacentral:rRNA from 1 species
AACGAACGCUGGCGGCAUGCCUAACACAUGCAAGUCGAACGAGACCUUCGGGUCUAGUGGCGCACGGGUUCGUAACGCGUGGGAACCUGCCCUUAGGUUCGGAAUAACUCCCCGAAAGGGGUGCUAAUACCGGAUAAUGUCUUCGGACCAAAGAUUUAUCGCCUUUGGAUGGGCCCGCGUUGGAUUAGCUAGUUGGUAGGGUAAAAGCCUACCAAGGCGACGAUCCAUAGCUUGUCUGAGAGGAUGAUCAGCCACACUGGGACUGAGACACGGCCCAGACUCCUACGGGAAGCAGCAGUGGGGAAUAUUGGACAAUGGGCGAAAGCCUGAUCCAGCAAUGCCGCGUGAGUGAUGAAGGCCUUAGGGUUGUAAAGCUCUUUUACCCGGGAUGAUCAUGACAGUACCGGGAGAAUAAGCUCCGGCUAACUCCGUG